AUUUAUGGCUCCGUUAUGAGCUUGACGAAAGUCAUUUGACGUAACGCAUUAGCAUCUGCGAUUCGCUUCUGAAACGCAACAAAAUUAAUCCAUUUCUGAAACGACUGAUUACUGGUGACGAAAGAAACCAAAAGGAUUACUCCAAACGCGUACGUUGAACAUGUCGCCAAACUGAUAGAUGCAGUUCAAGAAAAGCGGUCGGAAUUGGGAAAACAACAACGUGUUGUUUUCCAGCAUGAUAAUGCAAAGUUCUACUCAUCUUUGGUCACUCGCCUAAAAUUAUUGGAACUAGAUUGGGAAGUGUUGCCACAUCAACCAUUUAACACUGACUUUGCGCCUACAAAUUACCAUUUAUCGCGUUCCUUGCAGGACUCCUUAAAUGAUAAAAGUUUUAAUGCCGUUGCUGAUUUAAACUCGUAUUUAAUUCAGUUUUUUGCUAACAAAACUCAGGAGUUUUAUGAACAUGGAAUUAUGACACUGCCUGAAAGAUGACGAAAGGUCAUCGAGGACAACGGACAAUUGCUGAUUGAUUAAAGUUAUAUUUUUAAGCAAAAAUGUUGAAUUUUCCUUCUUAUUUAAAGUGAUCUUGAUAGAAUCGACUAUUACAAUUGUA